rnacentral:rRNA from 2 species
ACAAGCAGCGGAGCAUGUGGUUUAAUUCGAAGCAACGCGAAGAACCUUACCAGGGCUUGACAUCCCUCUGACCGGCGUGUAACGGCGCCUUCCCUUCGGGGCAGAGGAGACAGGUGGUGCAUGGUUGUCGUCAGCUCGUGUCGUGAGAUGUUGGGUUAAGUCCCGCAACGAGCGCAACCCUUGUCAUUAGUUGCCAGCAGGUAAAGCUGGGCACUCUAGUGAGACUGCCGGGGACAACUCGGAGGAAGGUGGGAUGACGUCAAAUCAUCAUGCCCCUUAUGUUCUGGGCUACACACGUGCUACAAUGGCCGGUACAGAGAGACGCAAUGUCGUGAGGCGGAGCAAAACUCCAAAACCGGUCCCAGUUCGGAUUGCAGGCUGCAACUCGCCUGCAUGAAGUCGGAGUUGCUAGUAAUCGCGAAUCAGAAUGUCGCGGUGAAUGCGUUCCCGGGUCUU